CCUACGGGUGACAGCAGUGAGGAAUAUUGGUCAAUGGGCGGGAGCCUGAACCAGCCAAGCCGCGUGAAGGAAGAAGGCGCCAGGCGUCGUAAACUUCUUUUGUCGGGGAACAAAGGGCGCCACGCGUGGCGUUGUGAGUGUACCCGAAGAAAAAGCAUCGGCUAACUCCGUGCCAGCAGCCGCGGUAAUACGGAGGAUGCGAGCGUUGUCCGGAUUUAUGGGGGUAAAAGGGUGCGUAGGCGGUCCGGAAAGUGAGGGGGAAAAGCCCGGGGCUCAACCCCGGCGAGCCGUUGAAACUGUCGGACUAGAGACGGCGAGAAGUACGCGGAAUGCGCGGUGUAGCGGUGAAAUGCAUAGAUAUCGCGCAGAACUCCGAUUGCGAAGGCAGCGUACCGGCGCCGGACUGACGCUGAGGCACGAAAGCGUGGGUAUCGAACAGGAUUAGAUACCCCAGUAGUC
rnacentral:rRNA from 1 species